rnacentral:rRNA from 1 species
CACGUAGGGGACGAGCGUUGUCCGGAUUCAUUGGGCGUAAAGCGCGUGUAGGCGGCUCGGCAAGUCGGUCGUGAAAUGCCGGGGCUCAACCCCGGGACUGCGUCCGAUACUCCCGAGCUGGAGGCAGGUAGGGGAGAUCGGAAUUCCUGGUGUAGCGGUGAAAUGCGCAGAUAUCAGGAGGAACACCAGUGGCGAAGGCGGAUCUCUGGGCCGUGACUGACGCUGAGGCGCGAAAGCUAGGGGAGCAAACAGG